rnacentral:rRNA from 1 species
AGUGAACGCUGGCGGUAGGCCUAACACAUGCAAGUCGAACGGCAGCACAGUAAGAGCUUGCUCUUACGGGUGGCGAGUGGCGGACGGGUGAGGAAUACAUCGGAAUCUACUUUUUCGUGGGGGAUAACGUAGGGAAACUUACGCUAAUACCGCAUACGACCUACGGGUGAAAGCAGGGGAUCUUCGGACCUUGCGCGAUUGAAUGAGCCGAUGUCGGAUUAGCUAGUUGGCGGGGUAAAGGCCCACCAAGGCGACGAUCCGUAGCUGGUCUGAGAGGAUGAGCGGCCACACUGGAACUGAGACACGGUCCACACUCCUACGGGAGGCAGCAGUGGGGAAUAUUGCACAAGGGGCGCAAGCCUGACCCAGCCAUGCCGCGUGGGUGAAGAAGGCCUUCGGGUUGUAAAGCUCUUUUGUUAGGAAAGAAAAAAAGCGUGAGAAUCCCCCCAUGUCUUGACGGUACCAAAAAAAAAAGCACCGGCUAACUUGGUG